rnacentral:sRNA from 1 species
GAGAUCAGAUGAUGCAGACAAAAUCAGACCACUAAUGUGCACAACAGAUCUUCCACUUCUUUUUUUUAAAAAAAGAACUAUAUAUAUAUAUAUAUAUAUAUAUGUGUGUGUGUGUGUGUGUGUGUGUGUGUGUGUGUGUGUGUGUGUCUCA